UAUGGCAAUAUUGCUCCAGAAUGUUAAGGUUCUGUUGAAGACCUUCAUUGGUUGGUAAUAGAAGUACCAAGUCAUCAGCAUAUAGCAGGUAUUUCACCUCUGUGUCAAAUAGUGUGAGUCCUGGGGCUGGAGAUUGGUCCAACAUGUCUGCUAAUUCAUUGAUAUAAAUGUUGAAAAGAUUUGGACUCAAAUUGCAGCCUUGUCUCACACCUCGACAUUGUGAAAAAAAUUCUGUUCUUUGGUUUUUGAUUUUUAUUGCACACUUGUUUUCUGUGUACAUACAUUUUAUUAAGUUAUACACCUUUACCACCAAGACCACUUACAUUAAUAAACACCACCUUACCACCAAGCCCAUGUUGGAGAAUGUUGUAGAAUAGCCCUUCGUGCCAAAUCGAAUCAAAUGCUUUUUUAAAGUCAAUAAAGCAAGCAAAGAUUUUGCUCUCUUUUUUUUGGUGGACGUGUUUAUUAAUUAGUGUGUGUCAGGUGUAUAUAUGGUCAGUAGUGUGAUGGUGUUUAUUAAUUAGUGUGUGUCAGGUGUAUAUAUGGUCAGUAGUGCGAUGGUGUUUAUUAAUUAGUGUGUGUAAGGUGUAUAUAUGGUCAGUAGUGCGAUGGUGUUUAUUAAUUAGUGUGUGUCAGGUGUAUAUAUGGUCAGUAGUGCGAUGGUGUUUAUUAAUUAGUGUGUGUAAGGUGUAUAUAUGGUCAGUAGUGAGAUGGUGUUUAUUAAUUAGUGUGUGUAAGGUGUAUAUAUGGUCAGUAGUGCGAUGGUGUUUAUUAAUUAGUGUGUGUAAGGUGUAUAUAUGGUCAGUAGUGUGAUGGUGUUUAUUAAUUAGUGUGUGUCAGGUGUAUAUAUGGUCAGUAGUGCGAUGGUGUUUAUUAAUUAGUGUGUGUAAGGUGUAUAUAUGGUCAGUAGUGAGAUGGUGUUUAUUAAUUAGUGUGUGUAAGGUGUAUAUAUGGUCAGUAGUGCGAUGGUGUUUAUUAAUUAGUGUGUGUAAGGUGUAUAUAUGGUCAGUAGUGUGAUGGUGUUUAUUAAUUAGUGUGUGUAAGGUGUAUAUAUGGUCAGUAGUGUGAUGGUGUUUAUUAGUUAAUGUGUGUAAGGUGUAUAUAUGGUCAGUAGUGAGAUGGUGUUUAUUAAUUAGUGUGUGUCAGGUGUAUAUAUGGUCAGUAGUGUGAUGGUGUUUAUUAAUUAGUGUGUGUAAGGUGUAUGUAUGGUCAGUAGUGUGAUGGUGUUUAUUAAUUAGUGUGUGUCAGGUGUAUAUAUGGUCAGUAGUGUGAUGGUGUUUAUUAAUUAGUGUGUGUCAGGUGUAUAUAUGGUCAGUAGUGCGAUGGUGUUUAUUAAUUAGUGUGUGUCAGGUGUAUAUAUGGUCAGUAGUGUGAUGGUGUUUAUUAAUUAGUGUGUGUGAGGUGUAUAUAUGGUCAGUAGUGUGAUGGUGUUUAUUAAUUAGUGUGUGUAAGGUGUAUAUAUGGUCAGUAGUGUGAUGGUGUUUAUUAAUUAGUGUGUGUAAGGUGUAUAUAUGGUCAGUAGUGUGAUGGUGUUUAUUAAUUAGUGUGUGUAAGGUGUAUAUAUGGUCAGUAGUGUGAUGGUGUUUAUUAAUUAGUGUGUGUAAGGUGUAUAUAUGGUCAGUAGUGUGAUGGUGUUUAUUAAUUAGUGUGUGUAAGGUGUAUAUAUGGUCAGUAGUGUGAUGGUGUUUAUUAAUUAGUGUGUGUAAGGUGUAUAUAUGGUCAGUAGUGUGAUGGUGUUUAUUAAUUAGUGUGUGUGAGGUGUAUAUAUGGUCAGUAGUGUGAUGGUGUUUAUUAAUUAGUGUGUGUGAGGUGUAUAUAUGGUCAGUAGUGUGAUGGUGUUUAUUAAUUAGUGUGUGUCAGGUGUAUAUAUGGUCAGUAGUGUGAUGGUGUUUAUUAAUUAGUGUGUGUAAGGUGUAUAUAUGGUCAGUAGUGUGAUGGUGUUUAUUAAUUAGUGUGUGUAAGGUGUAUGUAUGGUCAGUAGUGUGAUGGUGUUUAUUAAUUAGUGUGUGUAAGGUGUAUAUAUGGUCAGUAGUGUGAUGGUGUUUAUUAAUUAGUGUGUGUAAGGUGUAUGUAUGGUCAGUAGUGUGAUGGUGUUUAUUAAUUAGUGUGUGUAAGGUGUAUGUAUGGUCAGUAGUGUGAUGGUGUUUAUUAAUUAGUGUGUGUAAGGUGUAUAUAUGGUCAGUAGUGUGAUGGUGUUUAUUAAUUAGUGUGUGUAAGGUGUAUAUAUGGUCAGUAGUGUGAUGGUGUUUAUUAAUUAGUGUGUGUAAGGUGUAUGUAUGGUCAGUAGUGUGAUGGUGUUUAUUAAUUAGUGUGUGUAAGGUGUAUAUAUGGUCAGUAGUGUGAUGGUGUUUAUUAAUUAGUGUGUGUAAGGUGUAUGUAUGGUCAGUAGUGUGAUGGUGUUUAUUAAUUAGUGUGUGUAAGGUGUAUGUAUGGUCAGUAGUGAGGUGGUGUUUAUUAAUUAGUGUGUGUAAGGUGUAUGUAUGGUCAGUAGUGUGAUGGUGUUUAUUAAUUAGUGUGUG